GAACAAGUACCGUGAGGGAAAGAUGAAAAGAACCCCGAUAAGGGGAGUGAAAUAGAACUUGAAACCAUGCACUUACAAUCGGUGGAAGCGUUAUUGUAAAGCGUGACCACGUACCUUUUGCAUUAUGAGCCAUCGAGUUACGAUGUGUAGCAAGGUUAAGCCUUUAGGUGUAGCCGUAGGGAAACCGAGUCUGAAUAGGGCGAUUAGUUGCAUGUCGUAGACCCGAAACGGGAUGAGCUUACCAUGGGCAGGUUGAAGCGAGGGUAAAACCUCGUGGAGGACCGAACCCGUUAAGGUUGAAAACUUUUGGGAUGACCUGUGGUAAGGGGUGAAAGGCCAAUCAAAUUCCGUGAUAGCUGGUUCUCUCCGAAAUGCAUUUAGGUGCAGCGUCUAAUGAAUACCGUCGGGGGUAUAGCACUGAAUUGGCUAGGGGGCUUACCGGCUUACCAAACCAUAUCAAACUCAGAAUACCGACGAGUACUGUUAGGCAGUGAGACUGCGGAUGCUAAGGUCCGUAGUCGAAAGGGAAAGAGCCCAGACCAUCAGCUAAGGUCCCUAAAUCGUGUCUAAGUGGCGAAGGUUGUGGAACUACUUUGACAUCCAGGAGGUUGGCUUAGAAGCAGCCAUCCUUGAAAGAGUGCGUAAUAGCUCACUGGUCAAGUGAUUCCGCGCCGACAAUGUAACGGGGCUCAAGCACACCACCGAAGUUGUAGAUUUCGCACUAUAGACAAGCCUUCGUGGUUCAGUCGUGCGGAGUGGUAGGAGAGCGUCGUGUGGCGAGUGAAGCGGCGGAGUGAUCCAGCCGUGGACGCUACACGAGUGAGAAUGCAGGCAUGAGUAGCGAAAGACGGGUGAGAAACCCGUCCUCCGAAAGACCAAGGGUUCCAGGGUCAAGCUAAUCUGCCCUGGGUAAGUCGGGACCUAAGGCGAGGCCGACAGGCGUAGUCGAUGGACAACGGGUUGAUAUUCCCGUACCGGCGAAGAACCGCCCAAGUCAAUCCAGUAAUGCUAAGCACCUGAAUACCACGGGUUCUCCUUCGGGAGUCUCCGUGGGGCUAGCGUGCGACCCUAUGCUGGUGCGGCUAACGUAUUAACAGGUGUGACGCAGGAAGGUAGCCAAGCCACGCGAUGGUUGUCGUGGUCUAAGCGUGUAGGGUUGUCGGUUGUUAAAUGCGCCGGCUGUGUGCCUGAGACGUGAUGGGACCCCGUUUUUGGGGGAUUUGGUGAUCCUAUGCUGCCGAGAAAAGCAUCGACGCGAGGUUGCAGCCGCCCGUACCCGAAACCGACUCAGGUGGUCAGGUAGAGAAUACCAAGGAGAUCGAGAGAAUCGUGGUUAAGGAACUCGGCAAAAUGCCCCCGUAACUU
rnacentral:rRNA from 1 species